UACGAAGGGUGCAAGCGUUAAUCGGAAUUACUGGGCGUAAAGCGUGCGCAGGCGGCGCGUUAAGACAGGUGUGAAAGCCCCGAGCUUAACUUGGGAAUUGCGCUUGUGACUGGCGUGCUGGAGUGUGGCAGAGGGAGGUGGAAUUCCACGUGUAGCAGUGAAAUGCGUAGAGAUGUGGAGGAACACCGAUGGCGAAGGCAGCCUCCUGGGCCAGCACUGACGCUCAUGCACGAAAGCGUGGGGAGCAAACAGG
rnacentral:rRNA from 1 species